GGUUAAGCGACUAAGCGUACACGGUGGAUGCCCUGGCAGUCAGAGGCGAUGAAGGGCGUGCUAAUCUGCGAUAAGCGCCGGUAAGGUGAUAUGAACCGUUAUAACCGGCGAUACCCGAAUGGGGAAACCCAGUGUGAUUCGUCACACUAUCAUUAACUGAAUCCAUAGGUUAAUGAGGCGAACCGGGGGAACUGAAACAUCUAAGUACCCCGAGGAAAAGAAAUCAACCGAGAUUCCCCCAGUAGCGGCGAGCGAACGGGGAGGAGCCCAGAGCCUGAAUCAGCAUGUGUGUUAGUGGAAGCGUCUGGAAAGGCGCGCGAUACAGGGUGACAGCCCCGUACACAAAAGCGCAUGUGCUGUGAGCUCGAUGAGUAGGGCGGGACACGUGGUAUCCUGUCUGAAUAUGGGGGGACCAUCCUCCAAGGCUAAAUACUCCUGACUGACCGAUAGUGAACCAGUACCGUGAGGGAAAGGCGAAAAGAACCCCGGCGAGGGGAGUGAAAAAGAACCUGAAACCGUGUACGUACAAGCAGUGGGAGCACAGGUUUACCUGUGUGACUGCGUACCUUUUGUAUAAUGGGUCAGCGACUUAUAUUCUGUAGCAAGGUUAACCGAAUAGGGGAGCCGGAGGGAAACCGAGUCUUAAUUGGGCGUUAAGUUGCAGGGUAUAGACCCGAAACCCGGUGAUCUAGCCAUGGGCAGGUUGAAGGUUGGGUAACACUAACUGGAGGACCGAACCGACUAAUGUUGAAAAAUUAGCGGAUGACCUGUGGCUGGGGGUGAAAGGCCAAUCAAACCGGGAGAUAGCUGGUUCUCCCCGAAAGCUAUUUAGGUAGCGCCUCGUGAAUUCAUCUCCGGGGGUAGAGCACUGUUUCGGCUAGGGGGCCAUCCCGGCUUACCAACCCGAUGCAAACUGCGAAUACCGGAGAAUGUUAUCACGGGAGACACACGGCGGGUGCUAACGUCCGUCGUGAAGAGGGAAACAACCCAGACCGCCAGCUAAGGUCCCAAAGUCAUGGUUAAGUGGGAAACGAUGUGGGAAGGCCCAGACAGCCAGGAUGUUGGCUUAGAAGCAGCCAUCAUUUAAAGAAAGCGUAAUAGCUCACUGGUCGAGUCGGCCUGCGCGGAAGAUGUAACGGGGCUAAACCAUGCACCGAAGCUGCGGCAGCGACGCUUAUGCGUUGUUGGGUAGGGGAGCGUUCUGUAAGCCUGUGAAGGUGGCCUGUGAGGGUUGCUGGAGGUAUCAGAAGUGCGAAUGCUGACAUAAGUAACGAUAAAGCGGGUGAAAAGCCCGCUCGCCGGAAGACCAAGGGUUCCUGUCCAACGUUAAUCGGGGCAGGGUGAGUCGACCCCUAAGGCGAGGCCGAAAGGCGUAGUCGAUGGGAAACGGGUUAAUAUUCCCGUACUUGGUGUUACUGCGAAGGGGGACGGAGAAGGCUAUGUUGGCCGGGCGACGGUUGUCCCGGUUUAAGCGUGUAGGUGUGUGUUCCAGGUAAAUCCGGUUCACUUUAACACUGAGGCGUGAUGACGAGGCACUACGGUGCUGAAGUAACAAAUGCCCUGCUUCCAGGAAAAGCCUCUAAGCAUCAGGUAACAUCAAAUCGUACCCCAAACCGACACAGGUGGUCAGGUAGAGAAUACCAAGGCGCUUGAGAGAACUCGGGUGAAGGAACUAGGCAAAAUGGUGCCGUAACUUCGGGAGAAGGCACGCUGACACGUAGGUGAAGUGAUUUACUCAUGGAGCUGAAGUCAGUCGAAGAUACCAGCUGGCUGCAACUGUUUAUUAAAAACACAGCACUGUGCAAACACGAAAGUGGACGUAUACGGUGUGACGCCUGCCCGGUGCCGGAAGGUUAAUUGAUGGGGUCAGCGCAAGCGAAGCUCCUGAUCGAAGCCCCGGUAAACGGCGGCCGUAACUAUAACGGUCCUAAGGUAGCGAAAUUCCUUGUCGGGUAAGUUCCGACCUGCACGAAUGGCGUAAUGAUGGCCAGGCUGUCUCCACCCGAGACUCAGUGAAAUUGAACUCGCUGUGAAGAUGCAGUGUACCCGCGGCAAGACGGAAAGACCCCGUGAACCUUUACUAUAGCUUGACACUGAACAUUGAGCCUUGAUGUGUAGGAUAGGUGGGAGGCUUUGAAGCGUGGACGCCAGUCUGCGUGGAGCCGACCUUGAAAUACCACCCUUUAAUGUUUGAUGUUCUAACGUGGACCCGUGAUCCGGGUUGCGGACAGUGUCUGGUGGGUAGUUUGACUGGGGCGGUCUCCUCCUAAAGAGUAACGGAGGAGCACGAAGGUUGGCUAAUCCUGGUCGGACAUCAGGAGGUUAGUGCAAUGGCAUAAGCCAGCUUGACUGCGAGCGUGACGGCGCGAGCAGGUGCGAAAGCAGGUCAUAGUGAUCCGGUGGUUCUGAAUGGAAGGGCCAUCGCUCAACGGAUAAAAGGUACUCCGGGGAUAACAGGCUGAUACCGCCCAAGAGUUCAUAUCGACGGCGGUGUUUGGCACCUCGAUGUCGGCUCAUCACAUCCUGGGGCUGAAGUAGGUCCCAAGGGUAUGGCUGUUCGCCAUUUAAAGUGGUACGCGAGCUGGGUUUAGAACGUCGUGAGACAGUUCGGUCCCUAUCUGCCGUGGGCGCUGGAGAACUGAGGGGGGCUGCUCCUAGUACGAGAGGACCGGAGUGGACGCAUCACUGGUGUUCGGGUUGUCAUGCCAAUGGCACUGCCCGGUAGCUAAAUGCGGAAGAGAUAAGUGCUGAAAGCAUCUAAGCACGAAACUUGCCCCGAGAUGAGUUCUCCCUGAGACUUAGAGUCUCCUGAAGGAACGUUGAAGACGACGACGUUGAUAGGCCGGGUGUGUAAGCGCAGCGAUGCGUUGAGCUAACCGGUACUAAUGAACCGUGAGGCUUAACCUU
rnacentral:rRNA from 1 species